rnacentral:rRNA from 1 species
GAUGAACGCUGGCGGCGUGCCUAAUACAUGCAAGUCGAGCGAACAGACCAGGAGCUUGCUCCUCUGACGUUAGCGGCGGACGGGUGAGUAACACGUGUAUAACCUACCUAUAAGACUGGGAUAACUUCGGGAAACCGGAGCUAAUACCGGAUAAUAUAUUGAACCGCAUGGUUCAAUAGUGAAAGACGGUUUUGCUGUCACUUAUAGAUGGAUCCGCGCCGCAUUAGCUAGUUGGUAAGGUAAAGGCUUACCAAGGCAACGAUGCGUAGCCGACCUGAGAGCGGGAUCGGCAACACUGGAACUGAGACACGGUCAGGACUCCUACGGGAGGCAGCAGUAGCGAAUCUUCCGCAAUGGGCGAAAGCCUGACGGAGCAACGCCGCGUGAGUGAUGAAGGUCUUCGGAUCGUAAAACUCUGUUAUUAGGGAAGAACAAAUGUGUAAGUAACUAUGCACGUCUUGACGGUACCUAGUCAGAGAGCCACGGCUAACUACGUG